rnacentral:snRNA from 13 species
AGCUUUAUGCAGUGGCAGUAUCAUAGCCAAUGAGGUUUAUCUGAGGCGCAAUUAUUACUAAUUGAAAGCUUUUAUAGUUGAGUUAUACCAAUGGCUAAGCUACACAGUGCCAUCAUGAGGGUGAGACCACUACAUGGUUUGCAUGAAGGCAAAGCAGGGUUAUACAGUCCAGCUCCAAGAAAUCCUAAGCACUUGUUGAAGGCACUGAUUAGGG